rnacentral:lncRNA from 1 species
GGGAGAGGAUUGACACUGGGAAAUGCUUACUGCGGAGGCCAGGGCCCAAUGCCCGGUAGGAGUAUUUGGCCACCAUUUGAAACUGAUAGAGUCCCAAGAAAGUCUUCUUUGACAUGGAGUUUCUCCUACCCACUGUGUGUAAUCAGGUCCUGUUCUACUAAUACACUCUUCUCCAGUUACCUCUGAGGCCAAAACCCAGCUUCAGGGUUGGUUAUUUUCUCUCUCCAUUAUGGAAUGAUUCCAUUGAAGCAAAUGGAGUGCAUUUAGGCUGGUCCCCUUCCAAGGCCAUUCUUCACUCAUAAGGGCCCCUCCACAAACCCAAGUGAGUGACACUGAACUGAUGGGCAAGUCUCUCAGCUAGGUCCAUGAAAAGGUUCUUCCCUAGGGUGGGGCAGUCCCAGUCUAGACCUAGGUCCUUCCUGAGUUGGUCCUAGACUGGGCUUGACCCCGAUUGUGGGGGCCUUGGACCUGCCUGUUGUUUUGGUUUUUGUAUAGUUUCUCCAGCGAGUUGGGGCUGGGCGUGAUCCUGAACGUUCCCUCCAUCAGAUAUGUCCCAAUGCCCGCUAUAUGUCCAACAGGCCCAAGCCCCUGGGUCUUUUCUCCUUGGUCCCAGGCAAGUGCGCCCCUCUGGGUAUUUUGUCUUUAUCCAUCCCAUCCAAUACCGUUUACCAUUAUAUGCCCAAAGGGUGGAGGGGGUACCUUGAGAACAAGCAGCUGGUUGGUAGGCAUAGGAGGUGAAGGACACUCCAGCCCGCUCCCGACACCAAGUCUUUCCUCUACACUUAGCACAAGCGGUGGAAUUUGAGUCUACGAAAGGGGCGAAAGGGGCCCAGACCAGAAGCAACCAAUAGCAACAAAACAUCCUACCCAGAAGGUGAAGCAGAGCUCGUGCUUCUGCCACAUUCCAGUCAGCCGGAGCAGUCUCUGCUAACCCUGUGGCAAAGAUUAGAACAUGACCACAAUAACAGACAAGCACAAGGGGUGGCAGCACAACAAGGGGCCAGAAAUGAGGAAGACCCCCAGUCUGUUUAUUCCAUCUGGUGGCUGAUUCCUCAAGCUUCUGCCGUGCACAGGCUAGUCAGCCUCCAGAGUGACUAGCGCAGGGCUGCAGCUUGCCUCUUUCAAGUGGGCAGCCUGCGCGGCCUGGAGGGAUCAGGGAUGCACACCCAGUCUCGAGAGGCUGGUUUUGCUCUGCUGUGGUCAAUCCCAGGAGCUGCUUCUGCCACCUUUCCUGAAGUAGGGGUGGAUAAAAUGACAGUAAACGGGCCCCUCCAAAGAGGUUGUGAUGGCUGGACAGUCCAUUCUUUUGCCCAUACAGCAUCCCCUGGUUUGAAGGUCUGCGGUUAGACUUACAGGCAGCCGUUCCCUAGCCCACUGAUGGAUGGUGGCCAGGGUGGAACCUAGCGCCUGCGUCUGUUGUCUCGGGAUGAGGUUCCCUAAUUCCUUUAAGUCCCCCCUUAUACCCUUAAUGAGAGGAGGGGGGCACCCGUGGAGGAUUUCAUAAGGAGAAAACCCAGUCUGUCUAGUAGGACUGGACCUAAAUCUUAGCAAGGCUACUGGCAAGAGCUGGCUCCAAAGUAGGUGUGUCUCCUGGCACAGUGUGCUUAAUUGUCAUUUCAGAGUCCAGUUUAUCCAUUCCACCUUCCACAGCUCCACAGCUCUGGGGCCGAUAAGCUGUGUGUGACUUCCGCGUGAUUUUUGAUCCCUUUGCCACCAAUUGCACUACUUCUGCCACAAAUGUCAGUCCGUUGUCUGAUCCAAUGGUGAUGGGAAUCCCAAAUCGGGGAAUGAUUUCCUUUAGGAGAAAUCAAGCCACCUCAUGUGCCUUCUCAGUGUGAGUAGGGAAGGCCUCUACCCACCCAGAGAACACACACAAAGCCUAACAGGUAUUUGCAGCCUCGGACCCAGGGGAGCACAGUGAAGUCCACAACUACAUUUUCGAAUGGGGCCCCUCCAACACCUUGUAUCCCGGGGCAGCCCUUGGCCCCUGGCGUGGGUUAUUUCGUGCAUAUGUCUCACACUGUCCGCAUGUUCCCCGGGCUCUGCUGGCAAGCCGAGGGAUGUAGAGGUGUCGGCCCAGUGUAGUCUCGAGAACCGCCGGGCCAAUGUGCAUCUCCUGAUGAAACUGUUUGACAAAGGCUGGAGCCAGGGCCUCAGGAAUUGCAACUCGGCUGUCUUCUAAUUUCCACCAUCCACUUGGGAGGCAAUUUCCUUUUUCGGUGGAACCAGGUGCUUUCAUGCUGUGAGUAGCUUGGGUCCCAUUGUGCCAGCGGGCUAGGGAACAGUGCAGCUGUCAGGGCCACUGAUUGUGUCGUCCCCUUGGAGGCUUUGAGUUUUGCUUCUUCGUCUGCUUUACGGUUUCGCCAAGCGACUGUGGUGUCCCCCUUUUGAUGUCCCCGACAGUGUGUGACUGCCACCUUUCUAGGGGCCCACACAGCAUCUAAGAGUUCAAAGAUCUCUUUGCCAUACUUUAUGUCCUUCCCUCCUGAGUUGAUUAGCCCCUUUCUUUCUAUAAAGCCCCCUCACAUGGAGGGUGGCGAAGGCAUAUUUGGAGUCAGUGUAUAUAUUGACAUGUAUCCCUGCUGCCAGUUGGAGGGCUCAGGUUAGCACAAUGAGCUUUGCCCUUUGUGUGGCAGUCCCUUUUGGCAGACCCUUUGCUCCAGUGGUGGAAUGUAAGGUCACCGCAGAAUACCCAGCAACGCGUUUUCCCUCUUACAAAGCUGCUACCAUUGGUGAAAUAUUCAGCAUCUGGGUCUUGGAGGGGCUGGUCUGUUAAAUCCGGCCGGCUGGGAAGUACCUCAUCCGUGACUUCAACGCAGUCCUGAUCUGGCUGGCUGGGCGAUACAGAUUGUCGGGCUGCGGGGUUUAGGGUCCUCGCUGCCUCCAGGCCAGUGCACAGACCUUUGCAUAACAUUCCUUGAUAUUUGACCAUCGGGGCAUUAGCCAGCCAGUAUUGUCCCUUCUAUUCCAUUGAUGUCAGCCCCGAAUGUGGCUCACGCACUGUUAGUUCUUGUCCCAUAGUCAAUUUAUCAGUUUCUGACACUAAGAGUGCUGUGGCUGCAAGUGCCCGCAGGCAGGGUGGCCACCCCUGGGCAAGAAUCAAGUUGUUUGGAAAGGUAUGCCACUGGAUGAUGCCACCACCCCAGCAUUCGAAUUAAGAACCCCCUACUGCGACCCGGUGCGUUCCCAUAGGUACAAGAAGAAAGGCUCGGAGAUGUCUGGGAGUCCCAGGCCAAGUUCACCAAGGCCGGCUCCAAGGCAGCCGGUGGGAAGAAGGCUUGAGGGAGCCCAUGUGCCGCUAGGCCAGCCCCCAGCCGGCAGCCCCCAGCAGCCGGGGCGGGGGGGGGGGGGGCUCCUCCGGCNNNNNNNNNNNNNNNNNNNNNNNNNNNNNNNNNNNNCCUCUGCAGGUGGCACAGGCGGCGCCUUUUUUCCGCGGGCUGACUCGGAGCCCGCGCUCCCCUUCCUGCUUCAUCCUGGGCUUUCUUCUCCUGGGGAGCGCCACCGCCCCUGCCCCUGGGGCCCUGCGAGUCGCCUGGCCCAGCGCUCCUCAGACGCUUGAUCUUCGGGCUCAGACUCCUCGCUCUCCGCAUCCUCCGACUCCCGUUUUUCCACGGGGCCACCAUUCCCCACGUUGCCUUUGGCGCCUUUGAACCUCCUGCCUUCGCAGGCUUUUUCCUUUUCUUCCUCCAUCACCUCGGCCACUUCCUGGACCGCCAGGAGCGCCAUUAGCCCUGGGAGGACUCGCCCCACUUCAUCUUCCUCGGCACCGCCCCAGGUCCCCAGCGGGCCACACCGAGCCUGCCUUCCUUGGAAUGCGGUCUUCGGCCCAACCCUUGCAGCGAUGCUUUCCCGCAGGUGCCCAUCGUCGUUGGCCUUCCUCAGGACCAUGGCGUCCACCUGGCAGCCUGAACCUCCAUUUAAGUUCUGGAAGUGUCCUUGGCCAUGAUGGUCAAGACCUUGGGAAGGGCGUCUUUCUUGCCUUUCUUGUCGCUCCAGCCCAGGGGCUCAGAUCACAGAAAUGAUUUCACCAUCUCACCGGUGCAAGGGUCUGAGGGGUCUGUAUAAGCCCCAGUGACCACAAACUCGGGAUUGUCCAGCCCCUCUUUUUCUGGGUCCCCAGUUUCCUGCGAUUGACUUUGGGAGGCAUCACUGUCCAUGGUCCCUUCCUCCCACCUGAAAAGGACCCAGUACGUUGGGGAAUUAGCUCCAGUACUCUUGGAUGUUCAGGCUGAUGGACUCAGCCCCGGCGGCGGGGGUGGGGGGAGUGGGGUGUGUCUUUCUCUGUCUCCCUCUUUUUGUCUUCAUCCUUCACCGUUGCCAAGGCCAAGAACUCGCAGAGACCCUCUCCAAGCUCUUUGCUCAGGAGGGCCCACAUCUUAAUGAGCUCUUUGGCAGUGACCUGGAGCAUGGUCCGGCACACGCUCUGUUACCCCUGCUCAAGUCCUCCUGAUCCAUCUCCUCAAUCACGACACUCAGGCUGUCCCAGGAAGAGUCUGCGACUCCCGCCUCGCCGACCUGGAAAGCAGGCCUUCUUGGUGCCUCUUCUUGCCCUUCUGGGGCAACCUGCUGCUGCUGGCUCUGUUUCUGCAACCCUGAAGGCCCAUCUUAGCAUUCCUGGCUGUGUAAGAAGAGGGACCAGCCUCCUCUCUGACUGCUGGCUUGGACCCCAGAGCCAGGAUAUCUGAAGCAGGAGGGGCGAGGAUUUCUUUCCUUUUUUCUUUUUCCUGUGUCUACAAAUUUAAAAGUGACUUAAAGUAAUGAACAGUCAAGGAGUUCCCAUCGUAGUUCAGCAGAAAUGAACUAGUAUCCAUGAGGACGUGUGUUUGAUCUCUGGCCUCCCUCAGUGGGUUAAGGAUCUGGCGAUGCCAUGAGCUGUUUUAUAGGUUGCAGACUUGCCUCGGAUUCGGCAUUGCUGUGGUUGUGGUUUAGGCCAGCAGCUAUAGCUCCGAUUGGACCCCUGGCCUGGGAACCUCCAUAUGUCUCUGGUGCGGCCCUAAAAAGACAAAAAAAAAAAAAAAAAAAAAAAAAA